rnacentral:rRNA from 1 species
UACGUAGGGGGCAAGCGUUGUCCGGAUUCAUUGGGCGUAAAGAGCUCGUAGGCGGUUUGUCACGUCUGCUGUGAAAUCCCGAGGCUCAACCUCGGGCCUGCAGUGGGUACGGGCAGACUGGAGUGCGGUAGGGGAGAAUGGAAUUCCUGGUGUAGCGGUGGAAUGCGCAGAUAUCAGGAGGAACACCGGUGGCGAAGGCGGGUCUCUGGGCCGAUACUGACGCUGAGGAGCGAAAGCGUGGGGAGCGAACAGG